GUGAGGGGGUGACUAGUGGCAGAGUGAGGGAAGGAAGGGGUGACUAGUGAAAGAGUGAGGGGAUGACUGGUGACAGAGUGAGGGAGGGAGUGACACAGUGAUAGAGUGAUGGAGGUGGUGACUAGUGACAGAGUGAGGGAGGUGGUGACUGUCACUAGUCACCCCAUCCCUCCCUCUGUCACUAGUAACCACCUCCCUCACUCUGUCCCUAGUCACCCCCUCCCUCACUCUGUCCCUAGUCACCCCCUCCCUAACUCUGUCAAUAGUCACCCCUUCCCUCCCUAACUCUGUCACUAGUCACCCCCUCCCUCAC